rnacentral:rRNA from 1 species
GUAUAAGAGACAGCAGUAGCCGCGGUAAUACAGAGGAUGCAAGCGUUAUUCGGAAUUAUUGGGCGUAAAGCGUCUAUAGGUGGAUUUUCAAGUCCGCCGUCAGAUCCCUGAGCUCAACCCUAGACAAGCAGUGGAAACUACCAAGCUGGAGUAAGGUAGGGGCAGAGGGAAUUUCUGGUGGAGCGGUGGAAUGCGUUGAGAUCAUAAAGAACAACAAUGGCGAAAGCACUCUGCUGGGCCGACAUUGACACUGAAAGAUGAAAGCAAGGGGAGAAAAUUGGAUUAGAUACCCGAGUAGUCCCUGUCUCUUAUAC